ACAGCCUUGCUGAAUUAUUCACCCUUGUCUUUUGCGUACUUCUUGUUUCCUUGGUGGGUUCGCCCACCACUAGGACAAACAUAAACCUUUUGUAAUUGCAAUCAGCGUCAGUAACAAAUUAAUAAUUACAACUUUCAACAACGGAUCUCUUGGUUCUGGCAUCGAUGAAGAACGCAGCGAAAUGCGAUAAGUAGUGUGAAUUGCAGAAUUCAGUGAAUCAUCGAAUCUUUGAACGCACAUUGCGCCCUUUGGUAUUCCAAAGGGCAUGCCUGUUCGAGCGUCAUUUGUACCCUCAAGCUUUGCUUGGUGUUGGGCGUCUUGUCUCUAGCUUUGCUGGAGACUCGCCUUAAAGUAAUUGGCAGCCGGCCUACUGGUUUCGGAGCGCAGCACAAGUCGCACUCUCUAUCAGCAAAGGUCUAGCAUCCAUUAAGCCUUUUUUCAACUUUUGACCUCGGAUCAGGUAGGGAUACCCGCUGAACUUAAGCAUAUCAAUA
rnacentral:rRNA from 1 species